GGACAACCUACCCUAUGGAAGGGGAUAAUCCCGGGAAACUGGGGAUAAUACCCUAUAGACUAUGGAUGCUGGAAUGCUCUGUAGCCGAAAGGUCCGCCGCCAUAGGAUGGGUCUGCGGCCGAUUAGGUUGUUGUUGGGGUAACGGCCCAACAAGCCUGUAAUCGGUACGGGUUGUGGGAGCAAGAGCCCGGAGAUGGAUUCUGAGACACGAAUCCAGGCCCUACGGGGCGCAGCAGGCGCGAAAACUUUGCAAUGCGGGAAACCGUGACAAGGGAACUCUGAGUGCCCGUAAAAUCGGGCUGUCCAUCAGUUUAAAAAACUGGUGAAGAGAGGGCCGGGCAAGACCGGUGCCAGCCGCCGCGGUAAUACCGGCGGCUCGAGUGGUGGCCACUAUUACUGGGCUUAAAGCGUUCGUAGCUGGUUUGUUAAGUCUCUGGGGAAAUCUUCCGGCUUAACCGGAAGGCGUCUCAGGGAUACUGGCAGACUAGGGACCGGAAGAGGUGAGAGGUACUCCAAGGGUAGGAGUGAAAUCCUGUAAUCCUUGGGGGACCACCUGUGGCGAAGGCGUCUCACCAGGACGGCUCCGACAGUGANGGACGAAAGCUGGGGGAGCAAACCGGAUUAGAUACCCGGGUAGUCCCAGCCGUAAACGAUGCGCGUUAGGUGUAUCGGUGAC
rnacentral:rRNA from 1 species